UUGUGUGUGUGUGUGUGUGGUGUGUGUGUGGAAAUAUAUAUAUACAUAUAUAUAUAUAUAUAUAUAUAGCCAACUUCCAUAUAACACAGAAAAUUCCAGUUUGAAUUGUUAAACAGACAGAAAAAUCAUUCUCAAUGUCAAGAAAGGGAUAGAGUGGGGCAGAAAUAUGUGUGUGUGUGUGU